rnacentral:rRNA from 1 species
UACGAAGGGUGCAAGCGUUACUCGGAAUUACUGGGCGUAAAGCGUGCGCAGGCGGUUGUGCAAGACAGAUGUGAAAUCCCCGGGCUCAACCUGGGAACUGCAUUUGUGACUGCACGGCUGGAGUGCGGCAGAGGGGGAUGGAAUUCCGCGUGUAGCAGUGAAAUGCGUAGAUAUGGGGAGGAACACCGGUGGCGAAGGCGGCCGAUCUGGACGGCUAUUGACGCUGAGACGCGAAAGCGUGGGGAGCAAACAGG